GAUAUUUGAAUUUGUACCUUGCAACUAAUAUGAAUACGGCCACCUAUAAACAUUCUCAUGUCCUUCUGGGGACCUGCAUUCCCAUUUUGAGUACAUUCCCCAAAGUGGAAUGAUCUUACUGCAUUUUCAUUUUCUUGAGCACCUUUUUGUGUCCUCUUUUGUGAAAUGCUCAUUCAAGUGUUUUGCCUGUUUUAUUUAAUUGCCUUUCUUAUUAAGUCUUUUUUUUUUUCGAGAGUAUUUUUUUUUUAAUUUUCGGUGGACACAUCUUUAUUUUUAUGUGGUGCUGAGGAUCGAACCCAGCACCCCACACGGACCAGGCCAGCGCACUACCGCUUCAGCCACAUCCCCAGCCCCUGCUUUUCUUUGUUUAUCUCUGCUCUAUUCUUUAACAGUUCCUUUUCCUACUAAAAAAGAAACUAAU
rnacentral:lncRNA from 1 species